rnacentral:rRNA from 1 species
UACGGAGGGUGCGAGCGUUAAUCGGAAUUACUGGGCGUAAAGCGCACGCAGGCGGUUUGUUAAGCUAGAUGUGAAAGCCCCGGGCUCAACCUGGGAUGGUCAUUUAGAACUGGCUGACUAGAGUCUUGGAGAGGGGAGUGGAAUUCCAGGUGUAGCGGUGAAAUGCGUAGAUAUCUGGAGGAACAUCAGUGGCGAAGGCGACUCCCUGGCCAAAGACUGACGCUCAUGUGCGAAAGUGUGGGUAGCGAACAGG